AGUUACUGGGUCUGCAGUGCAUAAACAAUAUAUUUGAACUUAGUUUCUGUGUGUAGGGCUCGGUCCUGGAAGAAGCCGUGACUCCCACUGGCUGCAGUGAACCUCUGAAAGUGCACAGAGCCCUGCG